rnacentral:rRNA from 1 species
AGAGUUUGAUCCUGGCUCAGGACGAACGCUGGCGGCGUGCCUAAUACAUGCAAGUCGAACGCUUCUUUUUCCACCGGAGCUUGCUCCACCGGAAAAAGAGGAGUGGCGAACGGGUGAGUAACACGUGGGUAACCUGCCCAUCAGAAGGGGAUAACACUUGGAAACAGGUGCUAAUACCGUAUAACAAUCAAAACCGCAUGGUUUUGAUUUGAAAGGCGCUUUCGGGUGUCGCUGAUGGAUGGACCCGCGGUGCAUUAGCUAGUUGGUGAGGUAACGGCUCACCAAGGCCACGAUGCAUAGCCGACCUGAGAGGGUGAUCGGCCACAUUGGGACUGAGACACGGCCCAAACUCCUACGGGAGGCAGCAGUAGGGAAUCUUCGGCAAUGGACGAAAGUCUGACCGAGCAACGCCGCGUGAGUGAAGAAGGUUUUCGGAUCGUAAAACUCUGUUGUUAGAGAAGAACAAGGAUGAGAGUAACUGUUCAUCCCUUGACGGUAUCUAACCAGAAAGCCACGGCUAACUACGUGCCAGCAGCCGCGGUAAUACGUAGGUGGCAAGCGUUGUCCGGAUUUAUUGGGCGUAAAGCGAGCGCAGGCGGUUUCUUAAGUCUGAUGUGAAAGCCCCCGGCUCAACCGGGGAGGGUCAUUGGAAACUGGGAGACUUGAGUGCAGAAGAGGAGAGUGGAAUUCCAUGUGUAGCGGUGAAAUGCGUAGAUAUAUGGAGGAACACCAGUGGCGAAGGCGGCUCUCUGGUCUGUAACUGACGCUGAGGCUCGAAAGCGUGGGGAGCAAACAGGAUUAGAUACCCUGGUAGUCCACGCCGUAAACGAUGAGUGCUAAGUGUUGGAGGGUUUCCGCCCUUCAGUGCUGCAGCUAACGCAUUAAGCACUCCGCCUGGGGAGUACGACCGCAAGGUUGAAACUCAAAGGAAUUGACGGGGGCCCGCACAAGCGGUGGAGCAUGUGGUUUAAUUCGAAGCAACGCGAAGAACCUUACCAGGUCUUGACAUCCUUUGACCACUCUAGAGAUAGAGCUUCCCCUUCGGGGGCAAAGUGACAGGUGGUGCAUGGUUGUCGUCAGCUCGUGUCGUGAGAUGUUGGGUUAAGUCCCGCAACGAGCGCAACCCUUAUUGUUAGUUGCCAUCAUUCAGUUGGGCACUCUAGCAAGACUGCCGGUGACAAACCGGAGGAAGGUGGGGAUGACGUCAAAUCAUCAUGCCCCUUAUGACCUGUCUCUUAUACACAUCUG